rnacentral:lncRNA from 1 species
AAGAAGAAAAAAUAAAGAAAGAUGGAUCUACAAGAAAUAAAAUUAAAUGAGAACAAAAGAAGAUACUCAAGGCAAGAAUCAAACUAAGGACUUGGUGGGAGACAAGAGAAGUAUCAAUCACCAGGCCAGGAGUGGUUGGUUGGAAGUUAGAUACAUCCCCGCGUACAAGUAAUAAAACCGGUGAAAAUUUGAAAAAAAUAAAAAAAACAGAACGGGCCAAGGGUGUCCAAAAGGCCUAAAGGACGACAGCAUAGAAAAACAAAGGGUGGGUUGUCU